CAAUCUUUCCCUAAGGCAUAUUUGGCAGGGUCUAAUAUUUUAUUACUUAUAAUCUCAAGUCCAUACAGGGUGCUUUUUGAUGUCACCUCUAAUUAUAUUCACAUACUGAAGUACACAUGUUACCAGUUAUAAAGUUGUACUGACCUUUGUCAUUAAAAAAAAAAAAAAAACUAAAAGCUAAAAAAUGUGUUCAAAGGACUUUCACUUUCAAUUGGCAGAAAAUCUAGCCCAAACUCAUUUUAUAAAAGGAGCUGACUCACUCACUAAACUGAAAUACAUAGGAGAGGCCUGGUUUUCUCUCUGUCUCUCUCUUCUCCUUUGCUUCCUCUCUUCUUUCCUGUUUUCUCUCUAUUGCUCUCUCCACUGUUGCAUCUCUUCCAGGUCUCCAUCUGCCCUCAUACUUAUGCAGGUUUCCCAUCACAAGCAGAAGAUGGCUUCAGCAUUCUCAGAUCUCACAUCUUCUAAGAUUCAGUCUAGCAGGAGGGAGAAUUCUCCAGUUUCUUUCCAGCAUUUCUGGAUUUUUCAAGAGAACUUUGGAAUUCCUGGGGGAUGUGUUCUGGUGAUUCUUCCAGAAGAAGAGACAAGUUGGCAGAGAAGGACAGAGGAUGAAUCCUGA
rnacentral:lncRNA from 1 species